rnacentral:rRNA from 1 species
CAGGGAAUCUUGCACAAUGGACGAAAGUCUGAUGCAGCGACGCCGCGUGGGGGAUGAAGGCCCUAGGGUCGUAAACCCCUUUCAGUGGGGACGAAACUGACGGUACCCACAGAAGAAGGUCCGGCCAACUACGUGCCAGCAGCCGCGGUAAGACGUAGGGACCGAGCGUUGUCCGGGAUUAUUGGGCGUAAAGAGCUCGUAGGCGGUUGCGUUAGUCGGAUGUGAAAACUCAGGGCUCAACCCUGAGACGCCAUCCGAUACUGCGCUGACUCGAAUCCAGUAGGGGUGUGUGGAAUUCCUGGUGUAGCGGUGAAAUGCGCAGAUAUCAGGAGGAACACCUAUGGCGAAGGCAGCACGCUGGGCGGGUAUUGACGCUGAGGAGCGAAAGCAUGGGUAGCAAACAGUAUUAGAUACCCCCGUAGUCC